rnacentral:rRNA from 1 species
AGCAGCCGCGGUAAUUCCAGCUCCAAUAGCGUAUAUUAAAGUUGUUGCAGUUAAAAAGCUCGUAGUUGAAUUUCGGGAUUGACGUGAUGGUCAUGCCUUAAGGGGUAUGAACUGUUGCAGUUGAUUUCUCACCUUCUGGAGAAACUUGAUGUCCUUUAUUGGGUGUCUUGCGGAUCCAGGACCUUUACCUUGAAAAAUUAGAGUGUUUAAAGCAGGCAUUUUUGCUCGAAUACAUUAGCAUGGAAUAAUAGAAUAGGACGGCAUGGUUCUAUUUUGUUGGUUUCUAGGAUCACCGUAAUGAUUAAUAGGGAUAGUUGGGGCAUUAGUAUUCAAUUGUCAGAGGUGAAAUUCUUGGAUUUAUUGAAGACUAACUACUGCGAAAGCAUUUGCCAAGGAUGUUUU